UACAGGGGGGGCAAGCGUUGUUCGGAAUUACUGGGCGUAAAGGGCUCGUAGGCGGCCAACUAAGUCAGACGUGAAAUCCCCAGGCUUAACCUGGGAACUGCGUCUGAUACUGGAUGGCUUGAAUUCGGGAGAGGGAUGCAGAAUUCCAGGUGUAGCGGUGAAAUGCGUAGAUAUCUGGAGGAAUACCGGUGGCGAAGGCGGCAUCCUGGACCGACAUUGACGCUGAUGAGCGAAAGCUAGGGGAGCAAACGGG
rnacentral:rRNA from 1 species